rnacentral:rRNA from 1 species
GACGAACGCUGGCGGCGUGCUUAACACAUGCAAGUCGAACGGAAAGGCCCUGCUUUUGUGGGGUUCUCGAGUGGCGAACGGGUGAGUAACACGUGAGUAACCUGCCCUUGACUUUGGGAUAACUUCAGGAAACUGGGGCUAAUACCGGAUAGGAGCUCCUGCUGCAUGGUGGGGGUUGGAAAGUUUCGGCGGUUGGGGAUGGACUCGCGGCUUAUCAGCUUGUUGGUAGGGUAGUGGCUUACCAAGGCUUUGACGGGUAGCCGGCCUGAGAGGGUGACCGGCCACAAUGGGACUGAGAGACGGCCCAGACUCCUACGGGAGGCAGCAGUGGGGAAUAUUGCACAAUGGGCGGAAGCCUGAUGCAGCAACGCCGCGUGCGGGAUGACGGCCUUCGGGUUGUAAACCGCUUUCGCCUGUGACGAAGCGUGAGUGACGGUAAUGGGUAAAGAAGCACCGGCUAACUACGUG